GACGAACGCUGGCGGCGUGCCUAAUACAUGCAAGUAGAACGCACAGUUUAUACCGUAUCUUGCUACACCAUAAACUGUGAGUUGCGAACGGGUGAGUAACGCGUAGGUAACCUGCCUGGUAGCGGGGUAUAACUAUUUGAAACGAUAGCUAAUACCGCAUAAUAUUAAUUAUUGCAUGAUAGUUGAUUGAAAGAUGCAAUUGCAUCACUACCAGAUGCACCUGAGUUGUAUUAGCUAGUAGGUGGGGUAACGGCGCACCUAGGUGAGGAUACAUAGCCGACCUGAGAGGGUGAUCGGCAAAGCUGGGAUGGGGACACGGCCAGGACUACUGCGAGAGGCAGCAGUAGGGAACCUUCGGCAAUGGACGAAAGGCUGACCGAGCAACGCCGCGUGAGUGAAGAAGGUUUUCGGAUCGUGAAGCUCUGUUGGAAGAGAGGGACGUGUGUGAGAGUGGAAAGUUCACACUGUGACGGUAUCUUACGAGAAAGGGACGGCUAACUCCGUG
rnacentral:rRNA from 1 species